rnacentral:pre_miRNA from 1 species
AACAACAGGAAUGUUAUGUACAGUAUAUUAUAAAAUUCUAUAUGUAACGUUUUUGUUGUCUU